CGUGGCCAACCUGCCCUUGGGACGGAAGCACCCCCGGGAAACUGGGGCUAAUUUCCGAUAGGGGAAGACUCCUGGAAUGGAUUUUCGCCUAAAAGGCGCUUAGAGCAUGCUUCUAGGCGUUGCCCAAGGAUGGGGCCGCGGCCGAUCAGGUUGUUGGUGAGGUAACGGCUCACCAAGCCUUUAACCGGUUCGGGCCGUGGGAGCGGGAGCCCGGAGAUGGGCACUGAGACAAGGGCCCAGGUCCUACGGGGCGCAGCAGUCGCGAAAACUCCGCAAUACGCGAAGGCGUGACGGGGCUAUCCCGAGUGCCGUCCGCUGAGGAUGGCUUUUCCCCAGUGUAGAUAGCUGGGGGAAUAAGGAGAGGGCAAGUCUGGUGUCAGCCGCCGCGGUAAUACCAGCUCUCCGAGUGGUGGGGACGUUUAUUGGGCCUAAAGCAUCCGUAGCCAGCUGAGCAAGUCCCCAGUUAAAUCCAGCGAUUUAAUCGUUGGACUGCUGGGGAUACUGUCCGGCUAGGGGGUGGGAGAGGCCGACGGUAUUCCCGGGGUAGGGGUGAAAUCCUAUAAUCCCGGGAGGACCACCAGUGGCGAAGGCUGUUGGCUAAAACAUGCCCGACGGUGAGGGAUGAAAGCUGGGGGAGCGAACCGGAUUAGAUACCCGGGUAGUCCCAGCUGU
rnacentral:rRNA from 1 species